UUCUGGCUCAGGAUGAACGCUGGCGGCGUGCCUAAUACAUGCAAGUCGAACGAGGGUGCUUGCACCCUAGUGGCGAACGGGUGAGUAACACGUAGGUAACCUGCCCUUAAGCUUGGGAUACCCAGAGGAAACUUUGGCUAAUACCGGAUAACAACAGAGGAGGCAUCUCUUCAGUUUGAAAGGCCCUUUACGGGGUCACUUAAGGAGUGGACCUGCGGCGCAUUAGCUAGUUGGUGAGAUAACAGCCCACCAAGGCGAGGAUGCGUAGCCGACCUGAGAGGGUGAUCGGCCACAUUGGAACUGAGACACGGUCCAAACUCCUACGGGAGGCAGCAGUAAGGAGUUUUCGGCAAUGGGGGAAACCCUGACCGAGCAACGCCGCGUGAGUUGAUGACGGCCCUAUGGGUUGUAAAGCUCUGUUGUAAGGGACGAAUGACUAGGUUAGGAAAUGAACUUAGUUUGACGGUACCUUACCAGAAAGCCACGGCUAACUACGUGCCAGCAGCGGC
rnacentral:rRNA from 1 species